GUAACGAGCGCAACCCUUGUCCUUAGUUACCAGCACGUUAUGGUGGGCACUCUAAGGAGACUGCCGGUGCAAACCGGAGGAAGGUGGGGAUGACGUCAAGUCAUCAUGGCCCUUACGGCCUGGGCUACACACGUGCUACAAUGGUCGGUACAAAGGGUUGCCAAGCCGCGAGGUGGAGCUAAUCCCAUAAAACCGAUCGUAGUCCGGAUCGCAGUCUGCAACUCGACUGCGUGAAGUCGGAAUCGCUAGUAAUCGUCGAAUCAGAAUAGUCACGGUGAAUACGUUCCCGGGCCGUU
rnacentral:rRNA from 1 species